CCUACGGGAGGCAGCAGUGAGGAAUAUUGGUCAAUGGUCGGGAGCCUGAACCAGCCAAGCCGCGUGAGGGAGGAAGGUACAGAGUAUCGUAAACCUCUUUUGUCAGGGAACAAAGCCGGGGACGUGUCCCCGGAUGAGUGUACCUGACGAACAAGCAUCGGCUAACUCCGUGCCAGCAGCCGCGGUAAUACGGAGGGUGCGAGCGUUAUCCGGAUUUAUUGUGUUUAAGGGGUGCGCAGGCGGUCUGUCAAGUCAGCGGUCAAAGCCCGGGGCUCAACCCCGGCCCGCCGUUGAAACUGGCAGGCUCGAGUUGGAGAGAGGUAGGCGGAAUGCGCGGUGUAGCGGUGAAAUGCAUAGAUAUCGCGAAGAACUCCGAUUGCGAAGGCAGCAUGCCGGCUCCACACUGACGCUGAGGCACGAAAGCGUGGGUAUCGAACAGGAUUAGAUACCCGAGUAGUC
rnacentral:rRNA from 1 species